rnacentral:rRNA from 1 species
UACGUAGGGUCCGAGCGUUGUCCGGAAUUACUGGGCGUAAAGAGCUCGUAGGUGGUUUGUCGCGUUGUUCGUGAAAACUCACAGCUCAACUGUGGGCGUGCGGGCGAUACGGGCAGACUGGAGUACUGCAGGGGAGACUGGAAUUCCUGGUGUAGCGGUGGAAUGCGUAGAUAUCUGGAGGAACACCGGUGGCGAAGGCGGCAUCCUGGACCGGUAUUGACACUGAGGCGCGAAAGCCAGGGGAGCAAACGGG